ensembl:lncRNA
GGGCUGGACGGGAAGGCAGUCACAAUCCCUGUGCUAACCAGGAUGUCUGGUCUCCAGAGGGCAGGCAGGAGGCUCAGGACUGGGAGGAAUCCCCUCUGAAAGCCGGAGGGAGGUGUUCUCGGGGACUUGGGACCUCUGAGCCUCCUCCCACAGAAACCACAGUCAGCGCCUGUUCCGGGGAGCUCCUGCAGUGGUUUAUCGGAGGUGGCUGUGCCCUCCCCUCUGCCGGGGAAGGGCCCGAUGGAGUGGCCUCGUGUAGGGGAGUGGGGUCAACAUGGGCCCCGGGCUCUCCAAGGCAGACUCAGCCCUGCAAGUGAGGAGAAGUAGGCUGCGGAACCGGGCUGUGCUGAAGGGCCCCGACUCUCCGACCCAAAGAGAAGCUCACGUGGGGGCCGAGGUGCAUGCAGCUGCCGCCCGGACGUCCGUCUGACCCACGUGGACGUCUGCAGAGUCCGUGAGCGCGGUCCUCUUUAACUUCCCUGCUGCUGCUGCUGCUGCUGCUAAGUCACUUCAGUCGUGUCUGACUCUGUGCAACCC